UACGUAGGGUGCAAGCGUUUGUUCGGAAUUACUGGGCGUAAAGCGCACGUAGGCGGCUUUGUAAGUUAGAGGUGAAAGCCCAGGGCUUAACCCUGGAAUUGCCUUUAAGACUGCAUCGCUAGAAUCGUGGAGAGGUGAGUGGAAUUCCGAGUGUAGAGGUGAAAUUCGUAGAUAUUCGGAAGAACACCAGUGGCGAAGGCGACUCACUGGACACGUAUUGACGCUGAGGUGCGAAAGCGUGGGGAGCAAACAGG
rnacentral:rRNA from 1 species